ensembl:rRNA 5S_rRNA 5S ribosomal RNA
GCUUACGACCACACCGCCUGGUUCAUGCCCGAUCUCGUUUGAUCUCGGAAGCUAAGAUAGGUUGGGCCUGGUUAGUACUUGGAUGGGAGACCGCCUGGGAAUACCAGGUGCUGUAAGGC